rnacentral:rRNA from 1 species
GAUGAACGUUGGCGGUGUGCCUAAUACAUGCAAGUCGAACGGUGAUAAUUUUGUAGUAAUACGAAUUUAUCAUAGUGGCGAACGGGUGAGUAACGCGUUGGUGAUCUGCCUCGAAGUGUGGAAUAACGCCCCGAAAGGAACGCUAAUACCGCAUGUGCUCUCGAUUUUUAGAAAGUUGAGAGUAAAGGAUUUAUUCGCUUCGAGAGGAGCCUGCGUCCCAUCAGCUAGUUGGUAAGGUAAUGGCCUACCAAGGCAAUGACGGGUAGGGGACCUGAGAGGGUGGCCCCCCACAAUGGAACUGAAACACGGUCCAUACACCUACGGGUGGCAGCAGUAGGGAAUAUUAGAAAUGGACGAAAGUCUGAUCUAGCGACACCGCGUGUGCGAUGAAGGCCUUCGGGUUGUAAAGCACUUUUUGGAAGGAAUAGGAAGGAAGGUACUUCCAGAAUAAGUCUCGGCUAACUACGUGCCAGCAGCCGCGGUAACACGUAGGAGGCAAACGUUAUCCGGAUUUACUGGGCGUAAAGCGCGUGUAGGUGGUUCUGUAAGUAGGGCGUGAAAGCUCCCGGCUCAACUGGGAGAGGCCGUUCUAAACUGCAGAGCUAGAGGAUGGUAGAGGGAGGUGGAAUUCCAGGUGUAGCGGUGGAAUGCGCAGAUAUCUGGAGGAACACCAGUGGCGAAGGCGGCCUCCUGGACCAUUCCUGACACUCAGACGCGAAAGCUAGGGUAGCAAACG